rnacentral:rRNA from 1 species
GGCGGCGUGCCUAACACAUGCAAGUCGAACGAGAAAGUGGAGCAAUCCAUGAGUAGAGUGGCGUACGGGUGAGUAACACGUGACUAACCUCCCUUCGAGUGGGGAAUAACCUCGGGAAACCAGGGCUAAUACCGCAUAACAUCUCCGGGUGAAACUCCCGUUGAUCAAAGGGGUAAGACGCUUGAAGAGGGGGUCGCGGCUGAUUAGUUAGUUGGCGGGGUAAUGGCCCACCCAGACGAUGAUCAGUAUCCGGCCUGAGAGGGCGCACGGACACACUGGAACUGAAACACGGUCCAGACUCCUACGGGAGGCAGCAGUGGGGAAUUUUGCGCAAUGGGGGAAACCCUGACGCAGCAACGCCGCGUGGAGGAUUAAGUCCCUUGGGAUGUAAACUCCUUUCGACAGGGAAGAAACUGACGGUACCUGUAGAAGAAGCCCCGGCUAACUUCGUGCCAGCAGCCGCGGUAAUACGAAGGGGGCAAGCGUUGUUCGGAAUUAUUGGGCGUAAAGGGUGCGUA